UAGUUAUUUCAGGAGUGGGGAGGGUCAGCAACAAUAAACACUGACCUUCAACACAUGCCCAGUAACAAGAGGUCUGUUUCUAAAAAAUGCUGCUAUUGGCAGGUUUUGUGGUGCACACGUUACUAUACAUAUUUCAGUACGGAAGAUGUCGUACUGAUGGAUUCACAGUUGACAAAGCAGGCCCAUAGCUAGCGAACACAAAUCUACCCCAACCAAGUUCCUUUCAUACAAUCAAGCUGAAUCAUUGCUCCUGCCUUGUAGCAGCAUGAGCCCAAAUCCCAUACAAAUUGCUACAUUUCUUGAACAUGGACAGAGAGCCUGUGUUUAUGCAAAGACUGAUUACAUGACAGCUCAAAACUUCUACCAGAGCAUGUGAAAAUGUGCACUCUGGUGCAUUUGUUCUAAUGUGUAGUUAAACUAUUUAUUCAGAUUUCAUUUUUUGUGUGCAUUUGUUCUAUAGCAGGAGUGAAGUCUUUCUCCCUUCCGUUUUAGGUCUUCUGAGCUCUUGAUCUAUCCAUAUUACUAAUGCCUGGGAUAGAGAAGAAAAGGUUGAAAUUCUGUGCAAGUUCCACUCAGAGAAGAUGAUUCCAUAGAUCUUCAUUGAAAGAACACUGUUCUUUGCCUCAUGAGCUCCCACCGCUUUCCUUCUGAAUCAAUUGUAGCUUUGUCUGAUCCCUAAAGUUCUAAAUAGAUAUUCCAACUCUUGAGGAGGAGGCUUUAGAUACCAUAAUCCCUACUGAAAGCAAGCCCAGCUCUUGCACCUUCUAAGUAAAGUACUGGCAUUGCCUUCCUUCCCUCUACCUAGAAGCCCAAAUCCUACACUAAGUCGUCAGAUUCCUAGUAAAGUCCUUUCUCCAAACUUCCCUUGUUCCACUGUGAUUUACUUCACAGUUCCCUUUGUCAGUGAGACUCUUUAGAAAGAUUUUGUUAGACUUUGGUCAGCCAAUAACUAGACAGUUGCUGUAUGUAGGAUUUUUAGCUCUAAAACUUUUUGCAAGCAGAAGCGUAGUGUUAUUAGAAACUAUUUGAAAUCUGUCUUCAAGUAGUAUGUACUAAUGCAGGCGAGCUGAGGAAAUGGAAUAUACAUACAUUUAAAGGGAGAUGGUUGUGAUUUUUAGCUUGUCAACUCUAACAGUGUCUCUUCAGACUGCAAGUAGCAAAGAGAUUUAGUAACAAGAAAAUAAAUAUUUCAUAAGAUGGAUGAUGUCACCUGAAGGGGUUGGGUUGGUUAUACUAGGGGGUUCUUUAUUUCACUUACAUUUACUGUUAUUAUGGGCAAGCUACAGUGUAAGAAUAAGUUACCGUAUCCUGGGCAAAAUUCCAGGGUGUGUCAUUAGUGCCACAAAUAAGUUAUUAGCUCAGAACAAACUCUUGCCAAACUGAUUACUGUUUAACUGUAUAGCUGCAAACAAAGUUAACAUUUUGAUCAACAGUGGAGAUGUGGGAAGCAGCUUAAAAAAUAUCCUGUUCCUUCACUUGUGCCCCUCAAAGCAUUACACUUCUGACGCACAUGUUGAAUGAGAAAGGUAGUUAGCGUUUUAGCAUCGUAGGAGCAUGGUUAAUAGGGGAGAUUGAGAGUCAGUAAUAUAAACCCUGUUUAUAUUUCCUACACUGCCACUGACUGGCUUUGUGACCUCAGGGAAGUUCCUUAACUUGUGUUCCAGUUUCUCAACCUUUACAAUUAGGAUACUCUUACUUAGUUUUACAAAAGCUGUGCCCAUCCAAUGGUCCCCACUCAGACAGAUUUCCCUAGCUGAGAGAUGCUGGCCUUUAGUCCUGACUCACUUGUGAUAGUGGUAGGUUGUCCCAUUGUACACUAGUUUGGAUGGAUGAUGUGCUGUAAUUUGGUACAACUAUGCUGCUCUCCAUUUGGCCCAUCCUACACUGGGACGUACCAGUGCCAUCCCUUCUGUUCAGGAUUGCUGCAGCCCAAUUCUGCUGUGUCACUGCCACAUGUCGGGUAAAGGGCCUGUUACAGUAGGAAUGCAAGAGAUGAUUCCAUGCUCACAUCACUACAUGGUGUAUGGGCAGCUGCAAGUAUAGUGGGAGUGAGCACACUGAGAUCUGAAGCUGUGCCAUAGGUCCUUCCCCUGUAAGGGGAGGAGCACACAAGCAACAGUAGCCUGAGUCAGGCUCUGGCUUAGAGCCCAAGGUGUAGUUUGUUGUGCAGUUCCUAUGGAGAUGGGGGAGUACUGACCCUCAUCCAACGCAGCAGCAAUUCCAGCUUUCAUUGCAGAUUCCAGCGGCUUGUUCAGAAGGAAAAGCAAGACGUAUCCUCUUUAGAGGGGGCUCUAACAAAGCUGGUGUAACCAAGUAUCACUAAUGCGAUGAUGACCACAGCUUAUGUAACACCAAGUCCCCACACUGUUAAACAAUGGCAACUAGAGAGUUUAGGACUCCUUGCAGAAAACACAGUGAAGUCCAUCAGAAUGUCUUCCAGUAAAAUCCAGACCACAGGGAGCUUGAACACAAGGUUCAGCACUUGGACACCUAUUGCAAAUAAAUCGUUCAACAAGCAGCUCUUUGAGGAAAGAGUUAGUCUCAUAAGCCAUUGGUUUGAUCUGUGGACAGACAAGCAGCGCAAACAAUUCUUCCACACAAUGUUGAUGAGAUGCAGUAAAUCACAACUGAAAUUUACCCAAAACUGGUUUGCAGAGAGGAUUCCAGUGACCAAAGUGGAUUUCACCAGAGUGCUGCCACGUUUCAUAUCUCUGUACAUCUUCUCCUUUCUCAGUCCCAGGGAGCUGUGUGCAGCUGCCCAAGUCAGCUGGCACUGGAAGUUUAUAACCGAACAGGACUGUUUGUGGGUGCCAAAGUGUGUUAAGUUUGGAUGGUUCCUGCCCUACACUCCAGCAGACAACGAAUACAGUGCUUGGAAGCGACAUUAUAUUGCCUGUGCAUCCAGCUUAGAUUACUUCACCCCAAGAGAAGCCACUGAAAUCUAUGGGACCCUCAAUGAACCAAAACCUGAAAAUGAGGAGCAGGAAGAGAGGCUAAGAGAAAAAUGGCUACAAAAAAUUAUUCGGGAGAGAUUAGCAUUACGCAAGAAGGAGUUAUUCAAAGCUCGACUGCCUUGGAUGAGUGGGACUUGGAGCUCGAGAUUCUUAAAAUCACGAUUACAGCCAAGUCAGGUGCAGACGAUCCAGGACGGGGCUAGACUACAGGCAAUUUUGCGACUAAUUAAGGAAAAGAGUGCUCUUUCGAAUCAUACUCUUUCAAUGCUGCUUUCUGAAGAAAUGAAAUCUGUAUCAAACUUUAAUCUAGCAGCAGAAAAACAGCUUGUUUUGGCCUCCUUAAAAACUUUGUCCAAAAGAAAAAACGUGACUGGGAGCAGAUCUGAUCCUGUGUUACCUUACAAACACUGUCAGCGUGUCUACCAAAAACACAGCAGUUUGCCAUAUCCACUUGAGCCAUACCUGGUUUUGAUAUCAUCCAGGAUUCCUGCAUAUGAGAUGGUGCUGGACAGCAUCAAACCUGGGGUGAUUUCUGUGUUGUAUGAACAUUGUGGAAUGACAUUGGAAAGCCUCCUUUUUUACAUAGAAAAGGCUCUGGAUGGCCGAAAAGCAAAGAGUAUAGGGAUUUUUAGCGAUGGAAACUCCAGAGAGAUCAAUUUACUUCAAGGCUGCAGAAUCAGCAUUGAGAACAUUUUAAGUCCUGAAGUGAGAGAAUUUUGGGAGAAGCUAGGUUGUGUAAUGUCUCCAGAGGAAGGUGGUUAUGUGGACAUCUUUGUUCCUCUGGCAGCAUCAGAGGCAGGGAUGGAAGUCCUUUCCCAGCUGACUCAGCUAACUGGUAUGCUCUUCAGAACCCCCACAGGAAUUGCAACUGGAUCUUAUCAGCACAUUCUUAGUGAAUGGCUGGGAAAACAGAAGGAUGGACCUCCCACCUCCACCUACUUCACUGAAGUAAAACUACAGACCUGGCUCAGAAUGACAGAGCUCCUGGAGGACGCACUGAAAUCUGUCCGGAAGCAGAUGCGACCAUAUUUAAGUGAGCUGCAGAAGAACAUUAGUGACAGGAUUAUUGGUCAGUUUAUGUUUGAUGCCAUGAGCAGAGCUAAAGUACAUACUAAUCAAGAAACAGCCCAUUUCACUGAUGGAUUAGCUGAACUGUCAAAAAGAAGCUAUGAGGAGGAUGCAAAAGAGGCUGCCACCCAGAGCCAAAAGCCUAACUGCAACAUCAGAGCAAAUGAGCCAACAUUUGAGGCAGUGGUUCAGUUGGAUAAAAAACUUCAGGAGGACACCGCAGACAGACGAACUAGAAUUGCCAGGGAGCUCCUGACAAGUGAGAAGAACUAUGUACACAUGCUGCAAACUGUGAGGGAUGUUUAUGUUGCACCACUGAAAGCAGCAUUAGCAUCAAAUCGAGCCAUCCUAAGUCAUGCUAAUGUUCAAAUCAUCUUCUCUGAUAUUUUGGCUGUCUUACAACUCAAUAGGCAGUUUUUAAUUGAGCUGACAGAAAGACUUCGGGAAUGGAGUCCAUCCCAGUGCCUGGGUGAAAUAUUCACUCAGUUUGGCCGGCAGCUUCAAACAUACACAAACUUCUUCAACAACUACACUGUCAUUUUGAAAACCAUUGAUAUGUGCAGAGAGACCAUUCCCUUAUUCCGUGCCUUCCUGAAAAGACACGAUAAGACUGUCGUUACUAACAUGAUGAGCCUACAGGAGCUGCUGCUAUGCCCUUCUAAAAGGUUUGAAGAGUAUCUUAGUCUUCUUUAUGCUCUGAGACUGCACACUCCUUCAGAACACAUUGACCGUGAAGAUUUGACUGCCUCAAUCAAGAUGAUGAAACAAUACAAGGAAUACAUAGAUCAGCUAAAACUGAACAUGAGCAAAGAUGAGCAAAUGCUAAAUGCACAAAGAAUCAUCCAGGGAUGUCCUAAUUUAUUAGAAGCCAACAGGUACCUGAUUAGAAUACAAGAUGUAACCCAGUUUAGCUGCUGUUCUGAGGAAAUCUGUGUUUCAUUCAGGGUCUAUGAACACAUCAGCAAUCUUAGCCUUUUUCUUUUCAACGAUGCACUUGUUAUUUCAAACUGUAGCAUCUCUUACAUGCCAUUUGAACGGACCCCAAAAACAACUUACCAAUUCUUGGCAGCAGUAGCUCUUCACAGGCUUGUUGUAGAAGACAUUCCACGUUCAAAAUAUAUCAAGAAUGCAUUUAUUCUACAAGGCCCAAAAUGCCAAUGGAUUUGUUCUAUAGAGGAUGAAGAUGAUAAAUUUACAUGGCUGUCUGCACUACAAAGUGCAAUCAACUGUAGCAUUGAGAAGAAAUGAGAUUCAUCUUAGUGUUUAGGAUGCCCAACUUCUGUAGUAUGUGCUAAUUAUUUGUGAACAGAUAUUUUGUACAGUUUCCUACUCCGAGAAAGUUUUGUUCAAAUUCUGCAUCAUUACCAAGAAGUUAGCAUUCCUUUUGCUAGAAUACUAUCAUGUGUGCGCCUCAGACUGCAGGAACUUACGGUAGAAUCAACACUCGUCGACCCUAGCUGAAACUGAAAUCACCCAAAAAGGACUGCUGUAGAAGUGUACAUCUCUUUGAACGGAUAAAACCUACCCUUCCUCCAAAGUGCUCUUCUGGAGUUCAACUGAAACAGCAAGAAGGUGAAAGACAAAAAAGGCAGAUGGAAUAUUGGAGGCUAAAGGCUACACAACAAUUCAGAAUUGAACAGUGUGAGAGGAGAAACCCUGAGCAAUACCAAGGUGGAGCAAAAUGUUGGUUCAUUGCUUGGGAGUGUUGUGGUGACUGAUACCAAUGGAAGAGUGCCUUCAAGCACAAAAGUAGUACACCAAAUCAUUUCAAGCACUCCUGGAUGUAUCUUGGGAUUUAGCAUACAGCUUGUUAAUUUUAACCUUUUGUUUUUAAAAUAGUUUAGGAAUUACACAGUGGUCUCCCCCGAGAAGUAGAAAUAUGAAGGAUAAUUAUUAGAGGAAGUAUAACCUUUAUAUUGUCUCCUAUUUUGAAUACACAUGUUUAUUAACAACUUAUCUUAGUAUUAAUAAGACUGACUCCCUUUCUGUGUCGUCUCUAGGAAGUUAAGCAUUCUUUUAGGAUGAGUUUGCAACAACCACUUCCAACUCAAUGCCUAUAAGAAAAACUAAGGAUAAUGAAUGAUUCCCAGUUUAUAUUUACUGAAAUAAGUGGAUGGAGGCUCAGAAACUGCUACUUCUUGAAGACUAGCUUGUCAUUUUGGAGAAGGCAAAUUGAGAAAUCCCUUUUUCUUCCUCUAUCCCAGUCUCAAGGUUAAUGUACUUUAAUAUUUAAAGUAAGGUGGCUGGCAGUAAAGUAGAUAAAACCUUUCUACUAUGACAUGCUAAUUAAUAAUAUGACAAAGUGCACAUCAAAAAGUUUUUAAAUUGUGUUUUUAAAACUAAGGUUAUGCAUGAAGACAGGUUUUAUUUUGUUAAAAAUUCCAAUAUGAACUAGCAUGAAUUUGACCUAGAACCCAUUUUAAAUAUUUAGGUUAUAUUUGAUGCUUAUGUUAGCUCUAACUAUGAGGCAACCCCUGGAACUAACAACUACAUUUCAUAGCUCUUAAAACUGUAUAUGCCACCUGUGACGGUUCUCAGGGUACCCAGAACUAUGAGUCACCUUGUUACCCUUGCCUCCAAUGAGGAGUCUUUUCUUGUGGUAGCUGGGUGACAGCUCCCUGAUGCUGCCAGUUCUUCCUUCGCCAAGUAGGUUAACAAUACCUGCACUGCAAUCCCCGAGUCCCUUUGAAUCAUUCCCCUGUGAUACAGCCCAAUGUUGACUAAUCACAGAAAUUUCAGAUCCUCUGCAAUCUGCGGCAUACCAUAAUUUAUCAGUUUUACCUUAAACCACCAUUACUGUCAACACAGCACUUGUGAGCACUUAUAAUAAAACAAAAGUAGGUUUAUUAAAAAAAGAAUUAAGAUUUAACUAGUGAGAAAGGGAUGGUGGUAACUGCUUACAACACAAAACAGAAUCAUUAAAUGUAAACUUGGGUUUGCAUUUAUCAAGUUACCUUUCCUAUAUAAUAAAGUUGCUUCCCCCACAAACAUGAGCCCAUUGCAGAGCUGACUGGUUUCACCAGAAGCAGGAUAAAAGCUUUCAUGGAAGCUCCCUGCUUCUUAAGGGAUUUCCUCAGUGAUGGAGCCACAGUGCCCUUCUCUACACUACAGCACUUACAGCAGUGCAGCUGCACUUUUGCAGCACUUGUGGUGGAGAUGCUCUAAGCUGACGGGAGAGCUUAACUCCUGCCUCGUGAGAAGCGAUAGCUAUGCUGGCAGGAGAAGCUCUCUCCUGAGUUACGUAAAUUAUACCAAGUAACCUGUAGCCUAGACGAGGUUUAUGUCAUACUGAAAACAGGCAGGGUGAAUUCCUGCCUUGUUGUAGAGUUUCUUUUCUACCUUUAAAUGGUUUUGAUUGUUUAUCAUGGUCUCUCAUGGGUUUUCCAUUGACUAUUUUGGGAUGUGGCAAGGAUAGACAAUAGAACCUUGCAUUGGCUAGACAGCUGACUAGGGACUGAUUAGCAACUCCCUCUUGCUUGAAUGGACGGAUCAUCAUUGAGACACACCACUCAGGUGACUAAAUUUCUACUCCAAGUCCAUAAAGCAUACUUUAGAUAAACACAUUACUCCACAAAUAUUACCUGUACAUACAUCAAUAAAUUUUGAGUCUUGUCAAGUUACAUGCUUUCUGUAGAUAGCUUACAUAUUACUCUUCAUGGAUAAAUAUCCUGUCAGACAUAUGUUUGGUGCAAUGAGUUUGUCAGGUUUCAGGUGAGAGUUUACAAAGAACAGGGGACCCUCUGCCAAGGGAUGUCUGUCUCACCACUCCCAACUCAUGCCACAGUAUUUGUGUAGCAUAUUUCUGUACCGCUACCCAGGAAUUAUUCUGGGAAGGGUGUUCAAACGUUUGUAAGUUUCUGCCUCUCCCCCCAACCCAUGUGGCUCCUGGACCAGAGAUACUUUCCCUUGACCUCAGGGGCAAAGUACUUCAGGCUUCAAUGUCUCCUUUUAGUCCACUGCUUCCCUAGGAGCAGGUCCUCAUCCUUCUGGGGAAGUCCUGCAAGGUGGCAGAAGCCUAGGCUUGAAAAGCUCUGGUACACAUUCAUACUCCCAAUGUUUCAAAAGACUGGCCUUCUGUGCUUCCUUGCUGCCCAUAUUUUAGAGUAAAGUUAAAAAUUCAACAGAUUGAAAGACUGCACACAGGCAAAGAAUUAUACUAAUUUAAAAAAAAAU